rnacentral:rRNA from 1 species
UACAUAGGGCGCGAGCGUUAAUCGGAAUUAUUGGGCGUAAAGAAUUUGUAGGCUGUCGUGUAAGUUGAAUGUGAAAUCCCUGGGCUUAACCUAGGAAUGGCGUUCAGGACUAUACGGCUAGAGUAUGUGAGAGGUAAGUGGAAUUCCUAGUGUAGCAGUGAAAUGCGUAGAUAUUAGGAGGAACACCAGUGGCGAAGGCGACUUACUGGCACAAUACUGACGCUGAGAAAUGAAAGCGUGGGGAGCAAACGGG